GGUUAAGUUAGAAAGGGCGCACGGUGGAUGCCUUGGCACUAGGAGCCGAUGAAGGACGGGACGAACACCGAUAUGCUUCGGGGAGCUGUAAGCAAGCUUUGAUCCGGAGAUUUCCGAAUGGGGAAACCCACCACUCGUAAUGGAGUGGUAUCCAUAUCUGAAUACAUAGGAUAUGAGAAGGCAGACCCGGGGAACUGAAACAUCUAAGUACCCGGAGGAAGAGAAAGCAAAUGCGAUUCCCUGAGUAGCGGCGAGCGAAACGGGACCAGCCCAAACCAAGAGGCUUGCCUCUUGGGGUUGUAGGACACUCUGUACGGAGUUACAAAGGAACGAGGUAGAUGAAGAGGUCUGGAAAGGCCCGCCAUAGGAGGUAACAGCCCUGUAGUCAAAACUUCGUUCUCUCCUGAGUGGAUCCUGAGUACGGCGGAACACGUGAAAUUCCGUCGGAAUCCGGGAGGACCAUCUCCCAAGGCUAAAUACUCCCUAGUGACCGAUAGUGAACCAGUACCGUGAGGGAAAGGUGAAAAGCACCCCGGAAGGGGAGUGAAAGAGAUCCUGAAACCGUGUGCCUACAAGUAGUCAGAGCCCGUUAACGGGUGAUGGCGUGCCUUUUGUAGAAUGAACCGGCGAGUUACGAUCCCGUGCAAGGUUAAGCAGAAGAUGCGGAGCCGCAGCGAAAGCGAGUCUGAAUAGGGCGAAUUGAGUACGUGGUCGUAGACCCGAAACCAGGUGAUCUACCCAUGUCCAGGGUGAAGUUCAGGUAACACUGAAUGGAGGCCCGAACCCACGCACGUUGAAAAGUGCGGGGAUGAGGUGUGGGUAGGGGUGAAAUGCCAAUCGAACCUGGAGAUAGCUGGUUCUCUCCGAAAUAGCUUUAGGGCUAGCCUCAAGGUAAGAGUCUCGGAGGUAGAGCACUGAUUGGACUAGGGGCCCCUACCGGGUUACCGAAUUCAGUCAAACUCCGAAUGCCGAUGACUUAUCCUUGGGAGUCAGACUGCGAGUGAUAAGAUCCGUAGUCGAAAGGGAAACAGCCCAGACCGCCAGCUAAGGUCCCAAAGUAUACGUUAAGUGGAAAAGGAUGUGGAGUUGCUUAGACAACCAGGAUGUUGGCUUAGAAGCAGCCACCAUUUAAAGAGUGCGUAAUAGCUCACUGGUCGAGUGACUCUGCGCCGAAAAUGUACCGGGGCUAAACGUAUCACCGAAGCUGCGGACUGUUCUUCGAACAGUGGUAGGAGAGCGUUCUAAGGGCUGUGAAGCAAGACCGGAAGGACUUGUGGAGCGCUUAGAAGUGAGAAUGCCGGUAUGAGUAGCGAAAGAGGGGUGAGAAUCCCCUCCACCGAAUGCCUAAGGUUUCCUGAGGAAGGCUCGUCCGCUCAGGGUUAGUCGGGACCUAAGCCGAGGCCGAAAGGCGUAGGCGAUGGAUAACAGGUUGAUAUUCCUGUACCACCUCCUCACCAUUUGAGCAAUGGGGGGACGCAGGAGGAUAGGGUAAGCGCGGUAUUGGAUAUCCGCGUCCAAGCAGUUAGGCUGGGAAAUAGGCAAAUCCGUUUCCCGUGAAGGCUGAGCUGUGAUGGCGAGCGAAUUAUAGUAGCGAAGUUCCUGAUUCCACACUGCCAAGAAAAGCCUCUAGCGAGGUGAGAGGUGCCCGUACCGCAAACCGACACAGGUAGGCGAGGAGAGAAUCCUAAGGUGAUCGAGAGAACUCUCGUUAAGGAACUCGGCAAAAUGACCCCGUAACUUCGGGAGAAGGGGUGCUCUGUUAGGGUGCAAGCCCGAGAGAGCCGCAGUGAAUAGGCCCAGGCGACUGUUUAGCAAAAACACAGGUCUCUGCGAAGCCGUAAGGCGAAGUAUAGGGGCUGACGCCUGCCCGGUGCUGGAAGGUUAAGAGGAGCGCUUAGCGUAAGCGAAGGUGCGAAUUGAAGCCCCAGUAAACGGCGGCCGUAACUAUAACGGUCCUAAGGUAGCGAAAUUCCUUGUCGGGUAAGUUCCGACCCGCACGAAAGGCGCAACGAUCUGGGCACUGUCUCAACGAGAGACUCGGUGAAAUUAUAGUACCUGUGAAGAUGCAGGUUACCCGCGACAGGACGGAAAGACCCCGUGGAGCUUUACUGCAGCCUGAUAUUGAAUGUUGGUACAGCUUGUACAGGAUAGGUAGGAGCCUUGGAAACCGGAGCGCCAGCUUCGGUGGAGGCAUCGGUGGGAUACUACCCUGGCUGUAUUGACCUUCUAACCCGCCGCCCUUAUCGGGCGGGGAGACAGUGUCAGGUGGGCAGUUUGACUGGGGCGGUCGCCUCCUAAAAGGUAACGGAGGCGCCCAAAGGUUCCCUCAGAAUGGUUGGAAAUCAUUCGCAGAGUGUAAAGGCACAAGGGAGCUUGACUGCGAGACCUACAAGUCGAGCAGGGACGAAAGUCGGGCUUAGUGAUCCGGUGGUUCCGCAUGGAAGGGCCAUCGCUCAACGGAUAAAAGCUACCCCGGGGAUAACAGGCUUAUCUCCCCAAGAGUCCACAUCGACGGGGAGGUUUGGCACCUCGAUGUCGGCUCAUCGCAUCCUGGGGCUGUAGUCGGUCCCAAGGGUUGGGCUGUUCGCCCAUUAAAGCGGUACGCGAGCUGGGUUCAGAACGUCGUGAGACAGUUCGGUCCCUAUCCGUCGCGGGCGCAGGAAAUUUGAGAGGAGCUGUCCUUAGUACGAGAGGACCGGGAUGGACGCACCGCUGGUGUACCAGUUGUUCUGCCAAGGGCAUCGCUGGGUAGCUAUGUGCGGACGGGAUAAGUGCUGAAAGCAUCUAAGCAUGAAGCCCCCCUCAAGAUGAGAUUUCCCAUUCCGCAAGGAAGUAAGAUCCCUGAAAGAUGAUCAGGUUGAUAGGUCUGAGGUGGAAGUGUGGCGACACAUGGAGCUGACAGAUACUAAUCGAUCGAGGACUUAACCAA
rnacentral:rRNA from 2 species